rnacentral:rRNA from 1 species
GUAAAGGGCGCGUAGGCGGCUUUGUAAGUCCGUUGUGAAAUCCCUCGGCUCAACCGAGGAACUGCGACGGAUACUGCUUGGCUUGAGUCCCGGAGAGGGUAGCGGAAUUCCCAGUGUAGCGGUGAAAUGCGUAGAUAUCGGAAGGAACACCGGUGGCGAAAGCGGCGCGCUGGAUCUCUUCUGACGCUGAGGCGCGAAAGCCAGGGGAGCAAACGGG